rnacentral:lncRNA from 1 species
AGAGAAGAGAUCAAACACCUCGCCACCUCCAUAUUUCACCCAUAACCUCUACAAAUCACCACCACCAUUUUCUAUCAAUAAAAAUCACCAUAACCUAUAACUAAAAAACCAGCAAAUGAAAACCAAAUAAACUGAUCAGAGAUGAAGAGAAGAGGAUAGACACAGCCACCGCCGUUUCUGGACUACCACCGCACAUCACCACCAUCUCCGGCCGGAACUUCCACCGUCGCAGCCCCACACCACUUCAACUCAACGGCCAGUCUUCUCUCUCUUACUCUUUCUCUGUAUCUCUAUCUUUAUUGGUUUAUCCUGAUUGAGAAACAACGUAACGCCUUGUUACUGGUUGCCGGUUGGUCAUAGCAGAAGAAACUCUAGGUCUACUUUCUUACUUUUAUGUAUUUUUAUUUAAUUUUAAUAUCUUUUUUCAUUGUUUUAACCUUGCAAUUUGGGCUCAGCCCACAUGUAUAAAAAUUAGGUUUAUAGGUUUACUGCACCUUCCAAACAAAAAGAGAAAAAUCAAUUAAAAUAAAAAAACAAAAAAUAUAAAUUCAAAGUAACUUUUUUUUUUAGGCUUAAUCGGUUGGACAUCUCUUUAGUUUUUUAAAGAGAAAUUGGUGAGAGAGAAAUUGAAGAGAAAUGUCUAUUUUCUCUUAAUUGGUUUGGUGAGAAAUAGGAAAGAGAGAAUAAAUUUAUGUGAGCCCAAUUACUUUUUAUGGUCUCUCCAAGAAUGAGAAGAAAAGGAGAAGAGAAGCCAAUUUUUACUCAAUUCCAUUAUUACCCUUGCAUCUUCUUCCCUUAUCUAGUUUGUCGCUGGGUUUUGUUUUUCUUUUAACAGGAGUGCUUUGCUCCAUUUCCAUUUUCAUUACUCUUGCAUCUUCUUCCCCUAUCCUAUAUAUGCCUUUUUUUGGUGUUGUUUUAUUGCAUUUCUAUAACAAAUUCCUUUCGAUUCUACCGACAAUGAUCAUGAUCAAAAUACAAUUUCCGAUGUUUUUAUUUUAUUUCUUUGGCCAUUUAUCUUUUUUUUUUUUACGGUUGAUAAAAAAAUUAAUUUUAUAUUGGCUGUCUAUUUCAAAGAUAAAUGUAAUUUAUAAACCAAUCAAAACUAAUUAAUUAAUUAAUUAAUUAAAUGAUGAAUUGAAUAAAAAAAUUAAAUUAAUUUUGGUUAAGGUGCUUUUAAUUCAAUGGCAUUUUUGUACUUUCAAAAACAAUCAACACUUCUCUCUUCUCAAUUUCUCUCAUUUUUCUCUUAUACUAAUCAAUACACUAAAUCUACUCUAAUUCUCACCUCUUUCUCUCUUCUCUUACUCUCUCUCUCACCUAUUUCUCUCUUCUCACUUUCUCUCGACAACUAAACAUACCAUUAAUGUGAGAGAUGAGAGGGUUGAAUCACAACCCUUGGAUCAAAUCAAAUGCCAACAAUUUUUUACAGCUGCUCACACACAAUUAGUCUCACAUCGUGUCUUUCUCUCUCUCGGUUACUCAAAAAUGACUUCUCCACUUCUUACCAUUGAUGCAUCAUCUGUGUUCUUUCUUCUUAAAAAAAAAUCAUGACUUUUAAAUUGAAAAAUGAAACAACUUAAAUUGAAUGGAAAGAUGCAUCAACUUCCUCAUCUUCUUCCCGUGUUCUGUUUUCAAACACCAACAAUCACCACAUCUUCAGUUGCGACUUUGUACUGACAAACCCAUAAAUUGCUUAAUAGGAAGUAGCAAAUUUUUUUUAAGCUUAAUAAGAGGACACAAAGUAGAUCAUCUAAUUUACCAAUAUCACUUAAAAAUUGAAAAACGCAUAAAUUCCCAUCUUUUCCCUUUAUGAUUGACUCAAACUGCGUAGUACCAAAUUUGAAAGAAACAAAUUGUUCACCAUAAAAUUGGUCCAAUUUCAUAGAAUUUCCUUAGAAUAUUCUAAUUAUUUUCUAUGUACCAAUUCUCAUUGGGAAUAAAAGUGAAAUUGUAGAGAGAGUGACGGAUUCUCACUUCUCAUGCCUAUAAUCUUCCAACAGAAAGUUAAACUAUUUCACAAUGAAUCUUCUCACUUCUCAUGCCUAUAAUCAACCACUACAUCCAGGCAUACAAAUUAUUUAAUCUCGUGGCUGACAUUUAACCCUCUCACUAUCUCAUUUUAAAAUUCAUCUUAUUUGAAAGUCUCCCUCAGUGAGGUCUAAGUUAGCAAGGUGCACCUUUUUCCUUUGAACAUAAAUAUCCUUCUUUCACAAUUUUAAUUAAAUUUAAAAUGAAGGGUAAUUUGAUAGUUUUACAAAAAAAACACAAAACCCUUUCAUCAUUCCUUAAAAUUCUCAACCAAUUAUUUUCCGAUCACUAUCAUCUUCAUCUUCUUACCGUGGCCAUUGUUGCAAUCUAAACAAUACUCCAUGUUACACUAAUUUCUAGCUGCGUCAGCGUGAAUCCAACACGUAUUCUCAACCAAUUAUUGAAUAUAAAACCCAUAAGCAACUAAAUAAAUAAAAAAUCAAGAGGAGAACAAAGAAGAUGACAAAACAAAGCGAUAAAAAAAUCUGCAAUUACAAUUAUUCUACAAAUAAAGAACAAAGAAUAUGAUAGCUUUGAUUGCAAUUGCAGAGGAGAACAAAUAAGAUAAAACAAAUCUAGCACAAUUGAAGAAGAAAACAUAACAAAGAAGAUGAUAAAACAAAUCUUUCAUGAGAAAUUAGGGAGAGGUUUAGCACAAUGAUGAAGAUGAUAGCUUUGAUUGCAAUUGCAGAGGAGAACAAAGAAGAUGAUAGGUUCGAUUGGGUUGCAGCGGAGGAAGAUGAAGAGGAAAACAGAAGACAAAGCGAAUCCNNNNNNNNNNNNNNNNNNNNNNNNNNNNNNNNNNNNNNNNNNNNNNNNNNNNNCUAAAAGAAAGAAAAAACAAAACAAAAAGAAAAACUAUUCACGAAGAAAGAAGGUUCUCAUAGCGUCGUUUCUAAGAAGAUCACGAAUGCCUUCUGGAGGAGAAGCAUGAGUCAAGAAGUCAGCAUCUGAGGAGGCUCCAAGUUUAGCGAAGAAAUCAGCACAUUGAUUCCUCUCUCUAAGUGUGUGAUAAAGAGAGACAUUGGUUUGAGAGAUCAGCUCCUUUAUAUCUUGGAUCAACACAGCAUGAAUAUGAUACUUAACUUGAGGACCAUUGAUGAGGUUGAUACAGUGUAAAGAGUCAGAGUAGCAAACAAGUUCAUCAAUACUCAUAUCUUUGGCCAACAAGAGGCCCUUGAGGACCAUGAAUGCGUAUUUUGAUUCUGUUAAGUUUUUUUUUAAUUUAUUCUUUAAUUCAUGAAAUACAAUUGACAUAACUACCCUUUUAUUUAUAACAGACUUGAGUAGUGGUAAUUGGUUUUUUUGUCAAAAGUAAAAAGGUACACCUUGCUAACUUAGACCUCACUGGGUCUAAGUUAGCAAAUCCCUAUAUAUAUAUAUAUAUAUAUGAGGAGGGAUCCGUUGACUCCAGGAGUAAGUCUCUAUUGACUUACUACGCUUAAUAACUCGAUAUCGGCAUUAUAUUUCUUUAAUCCAACCGUUGAAUUCAAAGAUCUCANNNNNNNNNNNNNNNNNUAUAUAUAUAUAUAUAUAUAUAUAUAUAUAUAUAUAUAUAUAUAUAUAUAUAUAUAUAUAUAUAUAUAUAUUUGAGAUUCACUCUAGGAACUUUUAAGAAAAUUUUUUCAAAAAAUAUUUAUGACUAUAAUAAAUGUGCACAUUUAUUAUACCUAUUUUUAUUUUUUCGAAAAAUAUUUUAUAAUAUAUAUAGAAAUGGCUUAAUAUAAUUAAAAUAAUAUAAUUAACAUGUGUAAAAUUUAAAUAUAAUUAGAACCUUACAAAACCAUAUUAUUAUUAUUAAAAAUGAAUUUUCUUACAUGACUUCUUUGAAUAAAAAAUAUGCGUUAUUAAAAUAGAUUAUUUUAAUGAAAAAAUUAUUUAGAUGCAUGAUUUUAAAUUGUAAAAAAAGAAACACUUUACGCAACAAGAAAACGUGUUUAAUAGAAACUUUAUUUGCAUUCGAUUGCUCAAACAAAGUUAGAAAUAAUAUUUUUUUUUUGCUACUACACAAAAUUGGUGAAAAAGACAUUCUCAAUAUUUAUUACAUUUUAUUUUUUCAAAAAAUCAAAAAAACUACUCCCUCCGUUUUCGUUUAAGUGUUCAGUCUCGUCAGAUUUAGCGUUUUUAAUUAACUGUCCAUUUUCUAUUUUAAGGAUACGAUUUGUCAAUUGUACACUUUGUCAAUUAUUCUUAUCUUUUUCAAUAAAACAAAUUAAUGCUAUAUAUUUGAAAAACUAAAGUUUUUUGUUUUUUUUUGUACAUAACAUAUUAAAUUUUUGUUUUUUUUUUUACAUAAUAUAUUAAAUUUAUUGAAAAAAGAAAGUGUGUGAAAAAAAAAAGAGGGUAUAAUAGGAAGAUAAGGAGCAAAAAUCUACUUUCUUAUUUUGUGUUACUAUUCAUAACCGGACACUUAAACGAAAACGGAGGGAGUAUAUACAAUUGUUAUAAUAAAAAGGUAAAAUACAUUUUUUGAUAUUUACCUUUUUAUUUUUUUUCAAACAUUACCCUAUUUAUUUUAUUUUUUCGAAUAAUUAAAAAAAUUAUAUACAAUUAUUAAAUAUAUUAAAAUUUUUAAAAGCAAUAAUUUUCAUAAAAUAUUAUUAAAAAAAUAUUCUAAACACUUUAUGUAGGCCCUUUCUGAUAUAUUUAUGAUGGGUGUAGCAUUCAAAUUUUAAAACACGGGAGGGAGGUUCUUUAGAUUAUAAUAGUGGCUAGACUCAAUUUAGAAAAAUAAAGAAUUUAGGGUUUGAAGUUCGGCCCCCUAAAUAAUGUCAAAAUUUUUAGACCACGGGAUGGAACUUUUACAAGUAUAUGAAUGAAUCCAUGUUUAUUAUAAAUUACUUAUAAGUUUUAAAAUUUCAAUAUUUGGUCCUUUGAUCCUUGACUAUGGUGUAUAGAAAUUAAUAUACACUUUCAACUUUUUUGCUAGAACACCUUCAAAAAUAGGGUAACCAAAUGUACAUUUAAAUAUAUUAUUAAAAAAAUAUAUAUUUUAAUCUAAUUAUUAUUAAAAUACAAUAAAAUAUUUCAUAAUAUAUUAUUAAAUAAUUUAUAUUUUUAUAAGUAAAAACUCACCCGUGCAAUGCACGGAUAAUUUAUACUAGUUAUUAUAUAUAUAAUAAUGCUCAAAAUAAGUAAUAUCAUCUGUAUUUAAUUUUUAUUUUGUUUUGAACUAUAUUAAACUAUAAUUAAUAGAAGGGAAAUUCUAUGAUAGAGUCUCUAAAUUGACUAUUUUGAUAGAGUCACUUGUCUGACCAAUCAGAAAGCAGAGAUGACUUAAUCAAUGCCACGUAAGAUUAUAUUAUACAUCUCACAUAUCAUGCACCCUCAUAUCUUUUAUUAUUACAACUAAGUCCCUAAUAAUUUAAAAGUGACAAAAUUAUCCCAAUCUUUAUAUUAUUUAUUAAUUUGUAUUUUAUUCUAAAAAUCAAAUAAAACACAAAUUAAAAACAUUCUCAAAAACAGUCUUCACAAAACAGCAUCGACGAAGCAUGUUCUUCACAAUCGCUUAUCUCCACUGAAACCUGAUUUCCAUCGCUUAUCACCAUCGCUUUUCUUUUGUUCCCAACACGCAGACGAACAUUUCCUAUUGCUCCCAUUCAAUCGCUUCAUUGGAGGUCAAAAUUGCUUGUGUGAGUAAGGUAAAUUCGAUUGGCUUUGUUAUGUUUGGUUCAAAUUAGUUGAAUAAUUUCGAAUUAGGGGUGAUAAAUUUGUUAUGUGUGCGUAAUAAUUUUGAAUUGGUUUGUUAAGAUUUAAUAAUUUCGAAUUUCAAUUGGGGGUGAUAAAUUUGUUUUCAAAUUAGGAAUUAGGGUUUAUGGUUGAAUGUGUUUUCUAUAAUAGGGUUUCAAAUUUAGUAAUUUUGAUUUUCAAUUAAUUAAGUUACCUAUGAUUUUAGUUACUUUUGAAUUUUGAAGUUGCAAUGAAAUUAGGAGGUUUUGUGACGGUUAUUGAUUUUUUGUUGUCUUAAUUCCAUGAAUUAUGUUGAUGUUGAGUCAGGUUUAAUAUGGAAAACUGCGACGAUUCUGUUGAUGUUGAUUCCAAUCACGUUCAUUCCACUGAUGGUGAUACAUCUCAUGUUGAAUUGAAUGACGAUGAGGAUGACAGUUAUUCGGUAUCAAGUGGCGAUGAUGCUGACGAUACAUCUCAAAGUUCAGAUAAUGGCGAUGAUGCUGGCGAUACAUCUCAAAGUUCAGAUAAUGGCGAUGAUGCUGAUAAAAGAGAUGAUGAUAAACCUGUUGAAGUAAAUGCAGUUGUAGGUGAUGGAGUGGGGUAAGUAUAAAUUCUAUGACUUCUGAUGAAAUCCGUGCUUUGGAAUUUGGUACUGUUGAUGAAGCAUGUGAAUUUUAUUAUCGGUAUGGUAAAUCUAAAGGUUUUGCCAUUAGGAAAAGUGAAAUUAGGAGAAGAGGCCCUGAAGGUAGUAAAAAAAUAGUAAUGAGGCAGUUUGUAUGCAAUAAACAUGGGUUAAGAGCGAAGAAAUACUUGUGCAAGAUAGAUAGGAAAAGAGAGCACAGACGUUUGACCCGUACUAAUUGCGCAGCUAGGCUUCAUGUGCACUAUAAACCCAAAAAGGAUAGGUAUGUAGUGUCAAUUUUUGAAGAGGGUCAUAAUCAUGAAUUAACCCCGUCUAGGUAUGUGCACUUACACCCCACUUAUCGGCAAAUUUCUGAAACAGAUAGAGCUCAAAUUGAUGGUCUUCAGUCACGUGGAAUUAGAACAUGUCAUAUAAUGGGAUACAUGGUUGCUCAGAAGGGUGGAUAUUCUAGUGUUGGGUUUACAAAGAAAGAUCUUUACAAUUAUUUUGAUAAAAAAAUGCGUGACAUUAUUAAAGAUGGUGAUGUUGCCGCUUCUCUAAAUUAUCUAAAUGUAAAAACAUCUACUGAUCCCAUGCUCUAUGCUGAAUAUGCCGUCAACAACAAUGAUGGACGAAUGAAGUCUAUUUUUUGGGCUGAUGGGAGUAGUAGAUCUGACUAUUUUUGUUUUGGUGAUGUGCUUGCCUUCGACACAACUUACCAAAAGAACAAAUACAACUACCCAUUGGUUAUAUUUUCAGGGUGUAACCACCACUCCCAGAUAGUUAUUUUUGGUGCUGCAAUAGUAUCGGAUGAAACGACAGAGACAUAUAAGUGGGUGUUGAAAUGUUUUUUAGAGUGCAUGGAAAAGAAACACCCAAAAGCAGUGGUGACAGAUGGAGAUGAGGCUAUGAGGGAGGCUAUAAAACAUGUUUUUCCUAAUGCGACCCAUCAGUUAUGUUCUUGGCAUUUGAAUAAGAAUGCAAGUGAUAAUGUAAAGAAUUCAGAAUUUUUGGCAGGUUUUAAAAAAGCCAUGUACUCAAAUAUUACAAAGGAUGAAUUUGAAGAGUUUUGGUCAGAGCUGAUUAAAGAAAAUAAACUUGAACGAAAUCCUUGGGUUGCCAAAACGUAUGCGAACAAGUCAAUGUGGGCAACUGCAUAUCUACGUGAUAAGUUUUUUGGAUGUUUUAGAACAACGUCUCAAUGUGAAGCUGUUAAUGCAAUAAUCAAGAGUUAUACCAGGAAGAAAUGCUCCAUUUUUGAAUUUAUACACAAUUUUGAGCAGGCUCUGAGGGACUACAGAAACAAUGAAGUGGUUGCUGAUUUUAAAUCAAAGUGUACAGAACCUGUGUUGACAACUCACCUGCAUUUGAUUGAGAGUGAUGCCGCUAAAGUUUAUACGGCAGAGAUUUUCAUUGAAGUUAAAGAUCAAAUUAUGAAGGUUGGUGCAUUGAUUGUUAAGGAUAAACAUGAAGUUGGGGAUACGAAGAUUUAUACAUUGAAAAAGUAUUGUCAGGAUAAUUAUGAAAGAGAAGUUGUUUAUGAUGGUUCAACAUUUUAAUGUUCGUGUAGGUUAUUUGAUUUUCGUGGCCUUCCCUGUUCUCAUAUUUUUUAUGUCAUGAAGGAAGAAAAUAUUGACCACAUUCCUAGAAGUUUGGUAUUGUCGCGUUGGACGAAGGAUGCCAAAAUUGAAUAUUUGAACAUGGAUUGUAAUGAUACAGUUGAUUCGAAUAUGAUUGAGCUUGCUCGUUUUGGUGCAUAUUGUUCUGUUUUGACCCGUUUUUGCAAUAAAGCUUCUAAAAAGAGUGGUGUUUAUCAAGAAAUAAUGGAUGACAUCAUGAAUUUAGAAAAAAAGUAUUGCAGUAAUGAUGAUCCUACUGGGACACAAAAGUCAGCCGUAGGUGAUUCAAUUGCGGUGAAGGGUAAAGGUGCUUAUUUUCAUUGCCAAUUUGUAUACGUUGUUUUAUUCAAAGCAGUUUAUUGCUUAUUUUCAUUGCCAAUUUGUAUUAUGUCAAAAGAUCAAAACUGAGGUGAUUUUAUAUUCCAAACAGAGUUGAUAGUGUGUCUGUGUUUCUAUGAUGAUUUUGUUCGAAUUUAUAUGAAAUGUUUCUUCAAAAUUCAUAAGCAAACAAUUUGUGUGGAAUCUGGUUUGCAACAAUUAUUAUUCUGUCAAAAGAUAAUGGAUAAAUAUUAAACAUUAUUCUUUUUCUUAAAAUUUAGACAAGUGUGCAUUCGUUGAAUUUCGCAAGUAAAAUUGGUCUUACCAUAUAGCAGUGUUGUUAAUUUUUUACUUAUUACUCCACAACUUCACUGACAACAACGAACCAAAAGAUUAUGACUCCACCGCUUCAACCCCUAGAGUGGAGCGUAAACAAUUAGGUAAAAGAAUACCAGCAACUGAAAGAAACCUCCUACAUCCACCACCGAAAAGGUGCACUAAAAACCUGAAGCUAAGAGAAAAUCAACACUUAAGGAAAUGCUUACAGGGUUAACACCCUUAACGCAACACAACCUGAAGCUAAGAGAAAAAGCACCGCUAGAGCUGUAACUCAUUAUGUUAACUAAGCUUCCAUUAUUGUUCAAAGCAUAUUAAGAUUGUGGUCUAUCAAACACCAAGCUCCCCUUAUCAUCCAUUUCCACAGUUUAAAAUACAACGGAAUUAUAAUCAACUUCAAUUUUGAAUACAAACCUAAUCCCCAAAUUGUUCCUUUUUGGGUAACAAUUCAAAUCAACUUCAAUUUUAAAAUACAAGCCAAAUACCCAACUUCAACUUAAAAUACAAACCCAAAAACCAAUUCAAUAAUUUCUGUGUAAUAACUAAAAUCAAUUUCAUUUUGGGAAAAUAUACGUAUUACCUGUGAAAGGAGACGACGACAUUGAAGAAGAAGAAGAAGAAGAAGAAGAAGAAGAAGAAGAAGAAGAAGAAGAGAUGGAGGAAGAAGGACGGACGUCGGUGGACGGUGGACGAAGAAGGACGGAGGACGACGGAACUCGCCGGAGAAGUUCUGAUCCUUUCGAACUGUGGAAAUUAUUUCGUCAAAUAUAAAUUGUUUUUAAUUUUGUAAAUUAUUGUUUCUCAAAUAUAAGUUGUUUUUAAUUUUGUCAAAUAUAAAUUGUUUUUAUUUUGUAAAUUAUUGUUUUUGACUAUUGUAAAUUAUUGUUAAUUAUAAACUUAAUAGGGGACUUAUAUGCAAUAAUAAGAAGUUUUAUAUAAAAAAGGCUUACCAUGGACUUGCCACACUAUAUUUGCUUAUGUGGCAUUAGCUCAUUUUCUAUUGGUCAAUUCAAGUGAUUCUAUCAAAAUAGUCAAUUUAGAGACUCUAUCAUAGAAUCUCCCUUAAUAGAAUCAUAGACCACUGUAUACAUUAAAUGUUGGAGUUUAUCUCUAAAAUUUUGACUAUCAAAUUAGACUAUUUUAGACUUUUGUUGCAACAUGUUUUUAAAUUUUUUUAGUCUUUUAAUAUUAAAGAUAGUUUACCGUAAAUUUGUUUAAAUCCAUACCCUACUUUGUAUAUAGUUAAUGAACAAGACUAAGCAUCUAUGAAACACGUACUUGUAAGACAUUCAUAUAACACGUGUCGGACAAGUGUUUUUAUAAAGAUUUGUUUUUUGUUNNNNNNNNNNNNNNNNNNNNNNNNNNNNNNNNNNNNNNNNNNNNNNNUUUGUUUUUACUCUCCUUUUACACAUACAUUUUGAUUAUCAAUUUAGAUCUUUCAUAAAUAUGUAGCGGUGUCGGUGUUCUAUAUUUUUUAUAUUAGCAGUGUCGACGUGUACGUAUCCAUGUGUCGUGUCAGGUGUCCAUAUCAGAGUCUUGCUUCAUAGCUACCCAUAUAUCAAUUUUGUUAAUAAUUUUAUUCUUCAAAGUUGUUAUAUAGCAUGCAUUCUAAUAUAAUAAUAAAAUUUUGCAGCAGAAAUACACCAUGUCUCUGAUUAUGCUCAAUAUGCCGGUCUUCUUGUUCGUUAUGGGGUAAAGAAGUUAGAGGAAGCUGAUGGAACUUGGAAGGAUACAUGUACCUGAUUGGUUUUGCAAAGUCUUACACAAAGUUGAAAGGUAAAAGAACAAACUCAUUUUAAAUCGAGAUCGUUUGCAACUAAAAGUUUAUGAAACUGAUCAAAAAACUGAAAAGGUCAGUGAUGAUGUGUUUGCAUGGCUAAAAGAAGCAUACAUACUCUUACAAGAGAUGGAGAAUCUGAAAACACAACCAGAAGUAUCAUCAUGGAAUGAAUUUAACAAAUUGCAGGAAAGAAUAAAGGCACUCAAUGGGAAAUGUAAAUUUGACCCAUUUUCAACUCCAAUUCUAAAUUUAAAGCGCUUCUCUUCUGAAAAUAAUUUUAUGUGUUUUAAGUCUACAGAGAAGGCUUCUGAUGAACUUUUAGAGGCACUACAAGAUGAUAAGUGUUCGAUAAUUGGAUUGUACGGUCAGUGGCGGUACUCGGACCCUGGACUAGGGGGUGCAUUUUUAAUCGAUAUUUUAAUAAUUAUAAUAUAAAUAUCUAUAGAUGCACAUUCAUAUAUAAUAUAUUCAAAAAUUACAUUGUACUCAAAAAAUUACAUAUAUAUGUUUUACAACUGCUGCUACGCGGAUUCAAAUUUUAAAAUCGUUGAAUAACCAACUUAUUAUCAACAUUGUUGAGCACGUCUCUUUCAACAUAGAUCACGAGACAAUGGUUCAACCAUUCAUCCCCGAAGAACUUUUUUUUUGUCAAAAAAAAAAGUACCAAGAAAUUGUUAUAGAGAUCUUUAAAUUAUUAUAAGUUAACUUAUUUUUUAAAUUAUUAUAUUGCUAGUUAACUUGUCCCAAAGAAGAGAACAAGACCUACAUAAUGUUAAAUAGAAACAGUAAACAUAGAAAGCUCGAGAUAAACUUAGAAAAAGAGAAAAAAGCAUGAGACAUUCAAGCAGAAACAACAUGUAAAAAAAACGAGAAGGACAAACUUAAAAUAUAGAAAGAAGAAAAUAAAAACGAGAAUGACAAAAUAUAUGAUAAGCAAAAUAAAUGGAGAAAUAAAAGAUAACACAAAUAAAUUAAAAGAUUUGGUUCUAUAUAUUAUUAUUGGCAAGUGUCAAUCAGAUGACAUAAAUAUCUAAUUGGUCAAGUGAAAUGGGUUGAAACUUUAAGCUUUGGUGCAAACCAAACUUUCCAGGGGAUUCAAAGUAGAUAUAAUAUACAAUUUAGGUGCAAAUAGCAAAAAUCCAGGGUGUGCAGCUGCACACCCUCACCCUCAAAGGGAACCGCCCCUGUGUACGGUAGACAGGGUUCUGGUAAAACAGCAUUGGUGAAAGCAAUGGGUAAGAAAGUCGAGCAUUUAAAGAUGUUUUAUGAGGUUUUGUUUCUCAAUAUGACCCAAAACCCAAAUAUCACAACAUUGCAAGAUGAAAUUGCUGACUUGUUGAAUAUCAGAUUUGAUAGAAACAGUGAAGCCAAGAGAGCAAGAAGAAUAGUCUCCACAAUAGAAAAUAUGAACCGUCCAAUACUUGUGAUCUUUGAUGAUGUUCGGGCAAAAUUUGACCUAGGACAUGUUGGCAUUCCUUGUAACAGUAAUCAGUGCAAGGUCCUUUUGACCACACGUUGCAAACAAGAUUGUGACUUAAUGCACUAUCAAAGGAAGAUUCAACUUGAUUCCUUAUCAACAGAGGAAGCUUGUACUUUGUUCAAAGUAUAUUCAGCCAUUCAUCAUGAAAAGAACUCUGAAUUAUUGAAUGUAACACGUGAAGUUGCUAUUGAAUGUUGUUGUGAAUUCGAUUAACUCACACCAAUAACCUUUGAUGUGUGGAGCAAAAUAGAAUUAAGCAACCAAAUAAGCAAGAACGACGGUAAUAUCAAACAACAUAGUAAACAAUGGAAACAAUAAAGAACAUAGAUAAUUUGUUUACCCAGUUCGGUUAUAACAACCUACUCUGCGGGAGAGCGCCACUCUCCGUUCCACUAUCAAUAGAAAACUUAAUUACAAAAGAUUCUCCACAAGAGUUACAAGAAUUAGACUUCAAUCCUAAUUCUACCCUUUGCCCGAAUCUCUCCCCGUGACCAAGAGAUUCUAUGAAAAGUGUUUCCCAAGGUGUUAGAAUGUUUCCCCAACCCUAGAGUCUUCCAAAGAACUUGUUCUUAUAACCCUAGUUUGUUUGUUGGCCUCAGAAACCCUAAAAACCUCAUAAAAAUACAGAAAACGCAAAACAGUGUAUUUAUAAACCUGCGCCCGCGCCCCGCGCAGGUAGGGCUGCGCCCAGCGCAGCUAGCAGAGGCAAAACUCCAUGUUCCAAUCUUGCCUGUGCCCCGCUCAGGCAGCAGGAACCAAACCUUAUUUUUUCUGCUUCUUCCAAAUCAAAGGCAAAUUCCAACAAUUUCCACCUUGCCUUUUAAUUGAUGGUGAUGUCAACUUCCCACCAACCAUCAUGCUGCUCUCUCCAAGAUCACACCACACCCUCUUCGAACCUCGGAGUGAACCGCUUCGUACUCUCGAAGAAAACACUUGCCUCCAAUUGUCCUUGGAAUUUUAGGACAACCCUACAAGCUCCACCGUACCCUCUUCAGCCCCCGAAUUGUUCAUGUCCGUCCUCCUGAAGAAUUGCUUGCCUCUCAACUUAACUUUGGAAUUUUAAGUAAGUUCCACAAGCUGCAACAUCAGACUCUCCUUGUAUCCAACUACCUCCAGCAGUCCUACAAGUUCCCAAGUCUGAUCACCGUUGCUUCCAAUUGCCUCCCUGAAGUUCUUCAACAUGUUUUGCACUUCUUCAGCCAUAAUCGGAACAUAAUCCACAAGGUCUCCAUAGCUAAACUCCUUUGGUGCAACACUACCACUCUCCUCCCUAUCUCCUAGAUAGCCAAGAGCUAAUGUUGAUUUUCUUUUUCUAGUCCCACUAGUAAAAGACUCCACCUCAAACCGAGUUCAUCCACCAAAGUCUUUAAACGAGUACUUCCACUAUGUCUGAUCAGUGCAUUUUUAAUGCACUUUUAUUCAUCAUGUGCUAUGGCAAUUUUAUAACUUCUCCUAGUAUUUUAGUGUUUUUAUCAUGUUUUCUAUUUAGAGUCUAGUUUUGCUAUUUAUUUUCGUAAUAAACAGUAAUUUGACACCUUCUCAUUCCGCAGACCAUAUCUGGAGCUAGGAAUAUCGGAUCGAGGCGUGCAAAAAUGCGUUGGAAAGCUAAGAUAGAGAGCUACAACUUUCAUGUUGAAGUCAAACGCCAAUUCAGAGCGCAAGGGAGUCAUAUUUACUCGUCAAGUUUCAGACUUACAAAGAUUUAAUUAUUUCCAGCAUAACUUAUGUUUUUCGGCCCAAUUGUUUUGUGGCCCGUUUUACUUGAUGUAUAAAAACUGAAAUAUGACCUAGGUCAACGAAUUCUGUCACUUUCGAACUCAAAACCCUAAGCCAGCCGCCAUGCUAAUGGAGAACUAAUCUCUCUUUCAAUUCGUUGGUGUAAGGAACUCGAUUAAGAUUCUUGAGGUCUGAUUCUAAUAGCAAUUUCGUUCUCUAUUUAUGCUUUCUAUUAUCAAUUUCGUUUCUUGUCCACUGUAUGAAUUUCGAUUAAGAUGAUUGCUUAAUUAUUAUAUUCGAAUUUAUACAGCAGAUUUAUUCGUUUUAAUCCAUCGCUUGUUUAGAUUAAUCCGAAUAGAAAUUGAUAUAGUUUCGCGCUUCGCAAUAGGUUGAUCGAAUAUGUCAUGAUAUUGACCGUGUUCUGUGACGCUUGUUCACUUUAUAUGGUUGGUUGAACGCAUGAGAUGCUUAAUCGAAUGAAUUCGUUUGUAAAACUGAUUGUCGCUUGUAUAAUUAGUUUUAUAAAUCAACCAGAGCAUAAACAGUUGAAUGAAUAAUCUUAUGAACCCAUGAUAGAAUUAAGAUCGAGUUACCUGAGACCAAUGAAUUGAUCGUGUUAAAUCAUUUGAAUUUCAUAUUCUUUAUUCCCUGUUUGCAAAACAAACACCCCAUAUUUUAUAAUUUUCAAAUCGCUUCUAAUAUUGUUAAACUGAUUGUGAGUCUUUGGGAAACGACCAAGGUUAACUACCUUGUACUACUUUUAAUUUAAACUUAUUUUGAUCAAUGUCUUCCACCUUGUAACUGAGUAUUCUUAGCACCGCCUCUCCAGGCUGAUGUUGAGUAUUAUUCCACCGCCUCUCCAGGCCGAUGUUGAGUAUUAUUACCACCGCCUCUCCAGGCUGAUGUUGAGUAUUAUUCCACCGCCUCUCCAGGCCGAUGUUGAGUAUUAUUACCACCUCCUCUCCAGGCUGAUGUUGAGUAUUAUUCCACCGCCUCUCCAGGCCGAUGUUGAGUAUUAUUCCACCGCUUCUCCAGGCCGAUGUUCUUCUAUGGUUCCCGACUUGUAACUAUGAGUGCUCCCGCACUCUCAUAGCCUUCCUCACACUUCUGUUGAAACAAUACUGCCAUCAUCUUCACCUUCCACAAACCAAAGUCGUUACUCCCGGUGAAUUUCUCAAUUUCCCACUUAGAACCCAUGGUACUUAAUUCGUUUGAUCCUUUGCCCCACGGUGGGCGCCAAUUGUCGUGAAUUCGAUUAAAUCACACCAAUAACCUUUAGUGUGUGGAGCAAAUACGAUUAAGCAACCAAAUAAGCAAGAACGGUGGUAAUAUCAAACAACAAAGUAAACGACGGAAACAAUAAAGAACACAGAUAAUUUGUUUACCCAGUUCGGUUAUAACAACCUACUCUGGGGGAGAGAGAGCCACUCUCCGUUCCACUAUCAAUAGAAAACUUGAUUACAAAAGAUUCUCCACAAGAGUUACAAGAAUUAGCCUUCAAUCCUAAUUCUACCCUUUGCCCGAAUCUUUCCCCGUGACCAAGAGAUUCUAUGAAAAGUGUUUCCCAAGGUGUUAGAAUGUUUCCCCAAUGCUAGAGUCUUCCCAAGAACUUUUUCUUAUAACCCUAGUUUGUUUGUUGGCUUCAGAAACCCUAAAAACUCCAUAAAACUACAGAAAACGCAAAACAAUGUAUUUAUAAAUCCGCGCCCGCGCCCCGCGCAGGUAGGGCUGCGCCCAGCGCAACUAGCAGAGGCAAAACUCCAUGUUCCAAUUUUGCCUGCGCCCCGCUCAGGCAGCAGGAACCAAACCUUAUUUUUUCUGCUUCUUCCAAUUCAAAGGCAAAUUCCAACAAUCUCCACCUUGCCUUUUAAUUGAUGGUGAUGUCAACUUCCCACCAACCAUCAUGCUGCUCUCUCCAAGAUCACACCACACCCUCUUCAAACCCCGGAGUGAACCGCUCCGUACUCUCGAAGAAAACACUUGCCUCCAAUUGUCCUUGGAAUUUUAGGACAAUCCUACAAGCUCCACCGUACCCUUUUCAGCCCCCGAAUUGUUCAUGUCUGUCCUCCUGAAGAAUUGCUUGCCUCUCAACUUAACUUUGGAAUUUUAAGUAAGUUCCACAAGCUGCAACAUUAGACUCUCCUUGUAUCCAACUACCUCCAGCAGUCCUACAAGUUCCCAAGUCUGAUCACCGUUGCUUCCAAUUGCCUCCCUGAAGUUCUUCAACAUGUUUUGCACUUCUUCAGCCACAAUCGAAACAUAAUCCACAAGGUCUCCAUAGCUAAACUCCUUUGGUGCAACACUACCACUCUCCUCCCAAUCUCCUAGAUAGCCAAGAGCUAAUGUUGAUUGUCUUUUUCUAGUCCCACUAGUAAAAGACUCCACCUCAAACCGAGUUCAUCCACCAAAGUCUUUAAACAAGUACUUCUGCUAUGUCUUCCACCUUGUAACUGAGUAUUCUUAGCACCGCCACUCCAGGCUGAUGUUGAGUAUUAUUCCACCACCUCUCCAGGCCGAUGUUGAGUAUUAUUCAACCGCCUCUCUAGGCCGAUGUUGAGUAUUAUUACAACCGCCUCUCCAGGCUGAUGUUGAGUAUUAUUUCACCGCUCUCCAGGCCGAUGUUGAGUAUUAUUCCACCGCCUCUCCAGGCCGAUGUUCUUCUAUGGUUCCCGACUUCUAACUAUGAGUGCUCCCGCACACUCAUAGCCUUCCUCACACUUCUGUUGAAACAAUACUGCCAUCAUCUUCACCUUCCACAAACCAAAGUCGUUACUCCCGGUGAAUUUCUCAAUUUUCCACUUAGAACCAUGGUACUUAAUUCGUUUGAUCCUUUGCCCCACGGUGGGUGCCAAUUGUUGUGAAUUCGAUUAACUCACACCAAUAACCUUUGAUGUGUGGAGCAAAAUAGAAUUAAGCAACCAAAUAAGCAAGAACGACGGUAAUAUCAAACAACAAAGUAAGCGACGGAAACAAUAAAGAACACAGAUAAUUUGUUUACCCAGUUCGGUUAUAACAACCUACUCUGGGGGAGAGAGCCACUCUCCGUUCCACUAUCAAUAGAAAACUUGAUUACAAAAGAUUCUCCACAAGAGUUACAAGAAUUAGCCUUCAAUCCUAAUUCUACCCUUUGCCCGAAUCUCUCCCCGUGACUAAGAGAUUCUAUGAAAGUGUUUCCCAAGGUGUUAGAAUGUUUCUCCAACCCUAGAGUCUUCCCAAGAACUUGUUCUUAUAACCCUAAUUUGCUUGUUGGCCUCAGAAACCCUAAAAACAUCAUAAAAAUACAGAAAACGCAAAACAGUGUAUUUAUAAACCCGCGCCCGCGCCCCGCGUAGGUACGGCUGCGCCUAGCGCAGCUAGCAGAGGCAAAACUCCAUGUUCCAAUUUUGCCUGCGCCCCGCUCAGGCAGCAGGAACCAAACCUUAUUUUUCUGCUUCUUCCAAUUCAAAGGCAAAUUCCAACAAAUGUGACGGGUUACCUGAAAAUAUUAUUAAGACGGGAUCUUCUUUAAAAAAUAAACCUAUGGAGGAAUGGAAAGCUUCGCUAGACAAUUUGAAAAACUCAUUUGUUUAAUGGCAGAUGUUCCUCAGUUUUAGAGGGGAAGAUACUCGCUUCUCUUUUACAUGAUUUCUUUAUCAAGCUUUAUGCCAAGGGGGAUUCAAGCCUUUCAUAGAUAAUGAAGAAUUGCACACUGGAGAUCAUAUUGCAUCUUGUCUUAAAAAUGCAAUUGAAAGAUCAAGGCUUUCGAUUAUUGUUUUAUCAGAAAACUAUGCAAGUUCUUCAUGGUGUCUUGAUGAACUUGUCAAGAUUUUUGAAUGUGCGGAAUUGAAGAGCCAAUUAGUUUGGCCAAUCUUUUACAAAGUAGAUCCAGCAGACAUAAGGCAUUUGAGAAACAAUUUUGGCAAAGCCAUGGCUGAUCAUGAAAAAGAACUUGGAGUUGACUCAGAAAAAAUACAAAAAUGGAAGUCGGCUUUGUCAAAAGUGCCUGUUUUGUCGGGAAAGCCUUACACAACCGGGUAUGUAAUACACUUCCAUGGCAUAUAUACUUCAAUUUGAUUUAUCCCAUGUUAACCAAUUCCCACUCUACUAUAGUGAUGUUUAGAAUGAGUUCAGGCAGGGACGGAUCCAGAUAUUUAAUAAUGGUGUGGCCAAAUAUCAAAGAAAUUAUACGCUAAAUUAUAUUGAAAAUAAGAAAUAAUUUUUUUUUUUUUUGAAGAAGCCAAAGAAAUAUAUUAAAAAUAAGCACAAGUUGUGCCUAAAAAUAAGGUUCGUACACAAAGAAACCAACAAAGUACAGGAUUAUCCUGUGUUAAGUCCUAUACAAACUUUUGGAUCUAACAUCCAAUGAUUUAAAUCGUAACAGAAGCCUUUUUUCUUAGCCUUAAACCACCACCAUACUUGAACUUUGAUGGUAAAAAUUAACCUGUCAAUAGAUAUUGUCUUGCCAUUAAAAACUCUAUCAUUUCUCGCUUUCCAAAUAGACCAAAUUGAAGCUAGCCAAAUUGCUUGCAAACCCGACUUAGUAUUUUUACGAAAACCAUCAGACCCACAAAAUUGGGAUGCCAAUGCUAUUGCAUUAUCAGGAAGAACACAUGUGAUCCCCAACCAGGAGAUGAUGUUACUCCAAACCGCGCCAAAAACGGGACAAUUCAGAAAAAGGUGAUGAACAUCCUCAAUAGCAUCACAACCAACUGAGCACAAUAGGGAAUCAUUACGUAAACAACCUCGCGUGAAUAGAUUAAGCUUUGUGGGUAACCUGUCAUUGACACACCGCCAAGCAAAAGUUGAAACCUUUGAUGGAACAAGCUUAUUCCAAAUAAGAUCGUUGUGAGUAGACAACUCUCGCGGAUGCAACAAUUCAGAAAAAGGUGAUGGACAUCCUCGAUAGCAUCACAACCAACUGAGCACAACAUGGAAUCAUUACGUAAACAACCUCGCGUGAAUAAAUUAAGCUUUGUGGGUAACCUGUCAUUGACACACCGCCAAGCAAAAGUUGAAACCUUUGAUGGAACAAGCUUAUUCCAAAUAAGAAAUAAUAUUGUUUAAUGCAAUACAUUUACGAUAAAAAUUGUCUAUCAUCCAUUUCUUGAAAAUGAGUUAAAAUAACAUCAUUGCUUAUUUGUUUCGAGUGGCGGAGGUACAUUAACAUAUUGGGAUGGGCCGCAACAAAGUUUGAAUUUAUGGGGUUAAAAAUGAACAAACUGUUAAUCUUGACGAGUCUCAAUAACAUAUUAAAUGAAAAAGAAACUCAAGAAAUUAUAAAUACUAGAUUUUUUUUAUUUUGUUAAACUCAGUCCUCUGGUUACUAAAACAUUGAUUGGAGAAUUUUUUUUAUUGAAAAAGAUAAAUUCAAUCUAAAAAUUCAUAGACCAUUAACAAUCGAAUAAUGUUACAUCGUUCAAUAACGUCUAAAUACUUAUAUAAUCAUGUAAAAUUUUAAGGAAAUUUAAAAUAAUUUCAUAUGAUAUUGAACUCCAUUAAGGUUAUCAGUGUUCAAUAAAAAUAUAUAAAUGCUUAAUCUUGAUAGGUCUACGAUACACGGAUCGAACACCUCAAUUAUAGUGCAGAGAAUUUUACCACCAAGCUUCAUGGACUCUUGUGAUUAAAAUUAACGAUAAUAUGUAUAUAUACCAUAAUAGUAACAAAAAUGUGUAUAUAUAUACCUAUUAAAAAUGAAAAUUCCACUGUGGCCAAGGCCACAGUCGACCUCAAUGUAGGUCCGUCCCUGAGUUCAGGUUCCCUCCAUUGGAUAAAUUCUUCAUUUAGCCUGUUGAUUACAUAAUAUACCAUUGUUUUUGAAGAUUUGUUAAUUGUUAAAUAAGAAAUUUAGUCUUCUUCACACACCUAUCAAUUUAAGCAUGAUAUUUUGCACAAAUUUAGACAUGAAAUAUUUUGUUUCUAAGUUUUCCGGUACAGAUUUUUAUAUUAUACGUGAUCAUUUGUUCUUGUGAAAAAUUUAUCGUCAUAUUUAACUAUAUACUACUUUUCUACGAAAAAAAUACUAAAAAGUAAAAUAGUUGUAAUUUAAAGAUCUUGCACAUGAUUUUGCAGGUACGAAUAUGAAUUUAUCCAAAAGAUUGUGGAAGAUGCCAAGCAUAUUGAAAAUCGUUUGCAAAUUGAACUAGAAGAUCAUAGAAGCAAAUUAAAAAUCGUUUUGCAUGGCAAUCGUUUUUAGAACUAAUUGGAACCAUAUAAAUUGUCUUUAGCAAGUUGUUCAUAUAUAUUUUGGUUGUAAUUUUGUUUUGUUUUAUAUUUUUACAAGUCUUUUGCUUUGUAAAAAAAAUGUAAGUUAUAUCUACCAUUUUUUUUUUGUGUUGAGUCUAGUUUCAAAAAUUGAAACCAGAUUCUUUUGAAUAAUUCUUUUUAGAAGAAGUUCAAUCUUUUGAGUCAAAAAAGAAAAGAAAGAAGUUCAAUCAUUAAUUAUAGGCAAAAUGUAUCCAUAAGUCCUUUAAGUUUUACAUUUAUAAUAAAAAUAGAUUUUUAAGUUUUACGUUUGUAUUAGAUAUAUUCUUUAUAUUUGUAAUUUGCAAGGACCUAUUUAUUACAAACGUAAAACUUAAUUAAUUAAUGUUAUCCACAAAAUUCAACAUUCUUCAACUAUUAAUUAAUUAUUUUUUGACAAAUUUAAUUAAUUAAUUAUUAAAAAUAUAAAAUCAUAAAACGAGUAUAUCAACUAUCAAUAUUUUUUUUUGGGCAGUAUCAACUAUUAAUUAUUAAAAAUAUAAAAUCAUAAAAUAAAAUAACAUCACUUUUUUUCUGGUAUAUUAUAUAUAUAAUAAAAUACAUCACUUUUUUAAUAUAAAAAAACCGGAUGAAUUUUUUUUUUUUUAAUAAGAAUGUAGAGUCCAUUAAAUCAAUUUUUCGGUACUANNNNNAAAAAAAAAUAUAACAAAACUUGAUUUUUAGUUCUAAAAAUAAAAAUAAAAUAUUUUCAACCUCUACAAUUUUCUGUUUCAUUUUUUGUCUCAAAUAGACAUAAUUGACAUAUCAAACAUAGUAGAAACAAAAAUUCUCUGAGGAAUACAUGUGUUGUUGUUUCUCCGUGAUUUCUUGGCUUAUUUUCCAAGCCCACACGUUUUUAUACUCUUCUUCCUCUUCUUCUUCUACUAGUUCCUUACUUCGCUGAAAAAUCAAAUUAAACCCGUGGACCAAUUCCUUCUUUCUGUUAUGAAAUAUAUAUAGAUGAGUAAAGUGAAGUAAUGGGUUCACAACAAACUUUAUAAGAUAACUCUAUAUCCAUUAUUUUAUUUGUUGACUUUCUUUGUUUAAUUUGAAGUUAACAAACAAUCAUGUCUGGCUGCUGCAACAGUAUGGGUGAGUUCAAUUUCCUUUCUUCUUUAUUUUUAUAAUAAAAAAUUCAAUUUCCUUUCUCUCGCUUCAAUUAUUUUCUUUAUAUAUAUAUAUAUAUAUAUAUAUAUUUCACAUAAUGCUCAAAAUAAUUAAAAUCAUAAAACAAAAAUAAAUAAAAAUAUUUAAGUUAAGGAUUUCUGUCAAAAAAAAGUUAAGGAUUAAGGUCCGUUUGGAUUAGCUUAUUUAUGAGCUUAUGCAAACAGUUUAUGAAAUUUUUAUGUAUUACUAUUAGUUUGUCAAGGUAGUUUAUGAUAAAAUAAUUUAUAAAAAUACAAUUUUCACUAGUGGGAACUUAUAAAAUAUCAUAAAACCUAAUUUAUAUUGCAUAAGCUGUUUGCAUAAGCUUAAAAAUAAGCUAAUCCAAACGGACCCUAAAUAUGUUUUAGGUCUUAUAAAAUGGGAGUUUACUUAUUUUUUUAUAAUAUUUUUAGUCUCUAUAAAAUUUUCAUAAAUUAUUCAAAAAUAUAGGCUGAUUUAACAGUAGAGACGAAAAGUGAGUGCAAUAUAAUUUUCUAGGGACUAAAAAUUUAAUAAAAAUUAAGUAUCAACUAAACUUAUAAAGUCACCAUUUUGUCGAUAACAAAAACACAUAUUUAACUCUUAAGAAAUAUAUAUAUAUAUAUAUAUGGGUUUUGCUAAUACACACCCACUCUUUUUUAUGAAGGUGUGCAUUAGCAACAUACACCUUAGGGUGUAUUUAGCCACUUUUUAGUUAUCAUUUGCUAACACACACCUUCUAAAAAAUAAGUGGGUGUAUUAUAGUAAAUGCUUAUAGGAGUUGCUAACAUACACCCACUUAUUUUCUAGAAGGUGUGCAUUAGCAACAUACACCUUAGGGUGUAUUUAGCUACUUUUUAGUUAUAACUUGCUAACGCACACCUUCUAAAAAAUAAGUGGGUGUACGUUAGCAAAACCCUAUAUAUAUAUAUAUAUAUAUAUAUAUGAAAUAAUGUAGAAAGUCUUUCAUGGUGCAUGUGAAUGAAUAACAGUAUAACGAAUACGAAUUUUACAAAUUUAUUAUUGGAUUGAAAGUUUAUAUCAUAUAGAUCAUCGAUAAUUUUUUUAAAGAAAUUGAAAACCAAUUGGUAUGUUAUUGAGAUCCAUCAAAAUUAACGGUUUAUGGAUUUUUUUUUAUUGAAUACCUUUAGUUUUGGUGGGUCUCGAUAACAUACUAAAUUAUUUUUAAUUUUCUUAAAAACAAAAUCGUGGAAGGUCUAUAUUAUAUAAAUUUUCAAUUCAACGGUGGAUUUUAUAAAAUUUGUAUUAGUUAUAAUGUUAUUCACUACUUGUGCAUCAUGCACCACUUGAAGGACUUGUGCAUGUUGGAUGUCGCCAUAUAUAUAUAUAUAUAUAUAGAGGAUGGAUCAAAUUACACCGGUGUAACAUUUGAGUAGUGUUACACCGCUCAAUAACGCUUUAACGAAUACAAAUUUUAUGAAAUCCACCAGAUGAGGGAUCAAAUUACACCGGUGUAACAUUUGAGUAGUAUUACACCGGUGUAACAUUUGAUUAGUGUUACACCGCUCAAUAACGCUUUAACGAAUGCAAAUUUUACGAAAUCCACCGUUGGAUUGAAAGUUUAUAUCGUAUAGAUCAUCUAUAUCAAAUUUUAUAAAAAUCUAAAAUCGUUUGAUAUGUUAUUGAGACGAAUCAAGAUUAAUGGUUUGUGUGUAUAUUGAUGACGAAUCGUCACACUCUCUAAUCCAUGCCUAUUUUAGCAACAUUAGAUGCAUUUUAGUAGGUUUNNNNNNNNNNNNNNNNNNNNNNNNNNNNNNNNNNNNNNNNNNNNNNNNNNNNNNNNNNNNNNNNNNNNNNNNNNNNNNNNNNNNNNNNNNNNNNNNNNNNNNNNNNNNNNNNNNNNNNNNNNNNNUAUAUAUAUAUACACACACACGUUGAAAACUAUGCUGAUUUACAUAUUUCUAAAUAUAAAAUUUUGCAAUGCAUAUACAUAUACUUAUUCUAUAUUAUUUUUCCAGUGGUACUAGGGUGUGCAUUACUGCUACUUCGAAUUGAUUUGAAAAAAGAAAUGAACCGAUUGGUUACAAAUCGAGAUCUUGUGCUUGAUAAAGUCGAAACAACUCAUAAAAAAACUGAAAAGGUUAGCGAUGUUGUGUUUGAGUGGCUAAAUGAAACAGAGUUACUCAUACAACAGUUGGAGAAUCUGGAUGCACAAGAGAUACCAAGAAAACAAUUUAAAAGAUUGGUGAAAAAAGUAAUGGCACAGAACACGAAAUUACUUGAACCAUUUUCAACUCCAAUUCCAAGUUUAGAACACUUCUCUUCAGGAAAUAUUGUGUGUUUUAAGUCUAGAGAGAAGGCAUCCGAUCAACUUUUCGAUGCGCUGCAAGAUGAAAGUUGUUCUACGAUUGGAUUGUAUGGUAGAGAGGGCUCUGGUAAAACAACAUUGGUGAAAGCAAUGGGCGACAAAGUUAAGUAUUUAGAGAUUUUUCAUGAGGUUUUAUUUGUCAAGGUACCUCAAAAUACAAAUAUAAGAACAAUGCAAGAUGAAAUUGCCGAGUUAUUAAAUAUGAAAUUUGAUAAAGACAGUGAAGCUGGAAGAGCCAUAAAAAUAUUGUCAACAAUACAAGGUAUGAAUCGUAAAAUUCUAGUGAUUUUUGAUGAUGUUCGAGCAAAAUUUGACCCAGAGGAUAUAGGCAUUCCUUGUGAUGAUAAUUCCUGCAAGAUUCUUUUAACCACUUGUUGCCGACAAGAUUGUGAAUUGAUGUCAUGUCAAAGGGAGAUUCAACUUGAUCCCUUAUCUAGAGAGGAAGCUAGGAGUUUGUUCAUGAAACAUUCAGGCAUUCGUGAUGAUGAGGAUAACUCCUCCUCAUUCGACUUAUUGAAUGUGGCACGUGAAGCUGCUUUUGAAUGUGAAGGGUUACCUAGAACAAUUAAAGAGGUGGGAUCUUUCUUAAGAAGUAAACCAAUUGAAGAAUGGAAAACCACGCUAGGUAGUCUGAAACAUACAAUGGCCAAAUGGCAAAUUUUUCUCAGUUUUAGAGGAGAGGAUACACGUUACUCUUUUACGGGUUCUCUUUAUCAAGCUUUAUCUCAAGCGGGAUUCAAGACCUUCAUGGAUGAUGGAGGACUGCAUACUGGAGACCAAAUUUCACCCUCUCUUAUAAAUGCAAUUGAAGCAUCAAGGCUUUCGAUUAUUGUUUUAUCUGAAAAUUAUGCAAGCUCCUUGUGGUCUCUUGAAGAACUUGUCAAGAUUAUGGAGUGUAUGAAAUUGAAGAAUCAAAUAGUUUGGCCAAUCUUUUACAAAGUGGACCCAUCAGACAUAAGACACUUGAGAAAAUGUUAUGGCGAAGGCAUGGCUCGCCAUGAAAAUAAUUAUGGAAUUAACUCAGAGAAAGUACUAAAAUGGAAGUUAGCUUUAUUUGAAGUGUCUAAUUUGUCCGGAAAAACUUAUAAAACCGGGUAUGAAAUAUACUNNNNNNNNNNNNNNNNNNNNNNNNNNNNNNNNNNNNNNNNNNNNNNNNNNNNNNNNNNNNNNNNNNNNNNNNNNNNNNNNNNNNNNNNNNCCAAAAGCGUUUUAAUAUUCUUUAUGUUCACUUUGUUGUUUAAGUUUUGCUCCUAGUUUGAGUGCAGGUUUUCUAUUCUAUGUGAAAGCUAUAUCAAAGCUUGUUCUUGUGAAGAAAUUUGAUUGUUAUGUACAUGAAUUUGCAGGUAUGAACAUGAAUUUAUUCAAAAGAUCGUAGAAGAUGCCAAUCUUAUUAAAAGUUGUUUGCAAAUUGAUAACUCUCGUUAUUACGCACAUUAGUAUCCAUUUUUAAUGGAAUUUUAACAAGAAAAGUCUAGUUUUUGAGCUUAGAAUAAAAGAAAUUGCAUAAGGAUAUGAGAUUACUUGGUUUGGAAAAAAUCUAGAGAAAGUUGGAAAAUUGAAGCAGGAAGCCGCGCCUGGCGCGGGAUGCAUGGCGCCUGGCGCCGGAAAUUUGUGAAGAAUGGGAAUUCGCCGCGGACGGCCGCGCCUGGCGCGGGUGUGUGGCGCCUGGCGCCGGUCUGUUUGAAAAACUGAAGAAAAGUGGUGCAGAAGGCGGCGCCUGGCGCGGGCAGCGGCGCCUGGCGCGAGCAGCGGAGCCUGGCGCGGAUUUGCUGUAUCUAUAUAAAGGAAGCUCAUUUUCUUGCACCAGGUUCGGAAUUUUGGAAGGAAAAGCACUAUAGAAGCUCUGGAUCUGAUUUUUCUCAAGGAUUUUGAAGGAAGAUUCUUCAUGGAUCUUAAUUCUUGUCUUGGAUUUAUUUUCCUUGCUAUCAUGUGUAACUAAACACUUCUCGGGUUGGUCUUUCUAGGUGAUUUCAUGUAUCCAUUGUAGUGCAAUUUACUCGUAUGUAAUGAAUUAUGAUAUGAAUCUUAAUCAAUUGUCUUUGAUCUUAAUGCUUUACAUAUUUUGGCCUUUUAUGUGAUGAAUUUAGCUAUUGAUUUUACUAUGAUGAUAGGAAUUGAUAGUUGAAAAUAAGAACAAUUGAAUGAUAAAUAGUGGCUUAGAGAUAUGAAAUUGUUNNNNNNNNNNNNNNNNNNNNNNNNNNNNNNNNNNNNNNNNNNGAGAGGAUUGAUUAUCCAAGAGAUUGGAAUCAAUUACUUUGCUAAUCCUAUCUUAAGAUAAUUGAAUGAUUCGUUACAUACAAUAAGUUGCACGACUUUGUGAGAAGUGAAGGAUCCGACGUUAGACCAAUCCGUUUUUCCUUACAAAAAGUUCUACGCGUUUUUUACUCGUUUUUGCGAUAUUUGAUCUUAAAAACUCCCCCCAAUGUCCGUUACAAUUUAUUAUUUUAAGUUUAGUCCAAUUCGUUAUUGUUAAAAUUACACAAUCCCUGAGGAUCGAUAUUUUUACUACUUGCGAUUAUUCGUGCACUUGCGGAAUUGUCAUCAAGUUUUUGGCGCCGUUGCCGGGGAUUGUUGAUAAUUUCAACAAGGCAAUUGGACUUUUGUUUUUACUUUUGUUAUUGAAAAACCAAAAAAAAAUUAGUGUUAGUCUUUAAUUUUUGUUUUGAGCAAUACUAUUGAGGUAUUUUGUUGUUUUUGUUUAUGCGAGGUAAAGCACCGGAAGAACUACUAUUCGAUCCGGAAAUUGAGAAGACCGCAAAGGCAAAUAGAAAAGCAACAAAGCUAGCGAAAGAAGCCGCUAGCCAAGCACACUUUGAACAAGAAUUAAGUGAAGAGGAAGUUUCAUCUAGCUCAUUCUUCCCGGAAGAAGAACUAAUUGAAAUGGAGGAAGAGCAUGUAGUACCUCCUCCGCCUCCACCAAGAAGAACACUAGGUGAUUACGGUCAGCGGAACAAUGGUGAGACGGCCAAUUUGGGCUUUCAACCGGCAAACCCGGUAGCUUUUGAUAUCAAGAACACCGUCUUGAGUGCGUUGAAGGAGGAUCAAUACUCCGGUGCGGAAUCCCAAUGUCCAAAUCUACAUCUAGCCCAUUUCUAUGAAGCAUGUGAUUAUACGGAUCCACCGUGAGUUAGUGAAUCGAACAAGCGACUUCGUCUUUUCAAGCAUUCUCUUACCGGAAGAGCCAAAGAUUGGCUCGAUACCAUUCCUCCGGGUACAAUCAACACAUGGGGUGAAGUGGAACAAUUGUUCAAAGCUAGAUUUUUCCCGUUACACAAAUUUGUAGAAAGGCGGAAGGAAAUACAAAACUUUGAGCAAAGUGAUAAUAAAACACUUCAUGAUGCAUGGGAGAGAUUUAAGCUUAGCUUGAAAAAGUGUCCCGACCAUGGGCUAGAUAAUCUUGCCCAAAUGCAAUACUUCACCCAAGGGCUUAGACCUCAAACCCGCAUGCUUUUGGAUGCAUCGGCGGGUGGUUCCUUGAAGAAUAAGAAUGAGAUGGAAGCUAAGGAGCUCAUUGAGACUAUGGCUCAUAACGAAUACCGUGUGCAAAAUGACCGUGGAGCCAAGAAAAAAGGUGGAUUGCUUGAACUUGAUACUCAAGAUGCGGUCCUUGCUCAAACUAAGCUUCUCUCCAACCAAAUGGAGGCUUUUAUGAAGCGAUUUGAUCCGCAACAACAAGUCAAAGAGGUUCAAGAGCUUAGAUGUGACUUUUGCCAACAAGGGCAUGCAAAUGGGGGUUGUUUCCCGGAAGGCUCGGAAGAAGCUAAAUACUUGGCAAAUUUUCGAAAACCAUAUCCAAAUGGUUGGGGGAGCAACUCUAAUCAAGGUCAAGGCUACAAUUCAAAUCCUCCUCCUCCGAAACCAUCCGAAAUGGAGGAAACUCUCACUAGUUUCAUGAAGAUGACUCAAGGGAAUUUCGAGGCAAUUGCUCUCGAAAAUCAAAUGUGUCAACUCUCAAAACAAGUCUCUUCUCUACAAAAUCAAAGUGGUUUUGGUGGCAACACCACAGACAACCCUAAGAAUGAAACUUGUCAUGUCAUUAGUUUGAGGAGUAGGGAAGUGCCAUCACCGGUUGUAAAGGAGAGUAUCUUGAAAAAGAAAGUGUCUAGUGAGAGUGAGGGAGAAGUUGAAAAGAAUGAAGGAGAUGUUGUAGUUGAAAAUUCAAAAGAGUGUGGAGAAAAAAAUGACAUUGAUGGUGAGAUGGAAGAAUUAGUUGAAAAUGAGAGUGAGGGAGAAGUCGAAAAAGAGAAGGAGGUGGAGAAAAAGUCUAGUACCAAGAAAGGGAAACAAUCUCUUGUGAAUGCCUCAAAGUCUAAAAAUCCUUCACCUUAUGCUCAUAUUCCUUAUCCAAGAAGGAUGAAGGUCAAGGGUCAAGACAUGGAGUUUCGUAAAUUCAUAAAAAUACUCAAUAAGCUUGAAAUGACCAUGCCAUUUGUAGAAGCACUUGAGAAGAUGCUGGAAUACAAAAGGUUUAUGAAGGAGCUCCUUGCUAAGAAAAGGAAGUCACUUGAAGAAUACACGGUAAACUUGAAUGAGGAAUGUAGCGCUAUCCUUCAAAGAAAGCUUCCACAAAAGCAAAAGGAUCCGGGAAGCUUUACAAUCCUUGUUCUAUUGGUAAUCUUCACAUUGGAAAGGCUUUGUGCGACUUGGGUGCAGGUAUUAAUUUGAUGCCAUUGUUUAUGAUGAAACGCAUACCGGGUGCCGUGGCAAAGCCUACUAGGAUGCAACUUUCUCUUGCCGAUAGGUCAAUCACUUAUCCCUACGGUGUUCUUCAAGAUGUUUUGGUUAGGUGUGCCGACUUUGUGUUUCCGGCGGAUUUCGUGAUUCUUGAUAUGAAAGAGGAUGCCGAAGUCCCGCUCUUGUUGGGAAGACAAUUUUUAGCUACCGGAAGAGCAUUAAUUGAUGUGGAAUUAGGAGAGCUUAUGUUUAGGCUUGAUGAUGAACAAGUGUGUUUUAAAGUGUUUGAAGCCUCCAAGUUCCAUGGUAAGAUUCCGGAAUGCUUCAAAGUCGAAGUGCUUGAAGAAGUGGUAAAAGAUGUGCUUGAAGAAGAGUGGGAGCGUGAGAUUGACAUUUUUCUUCAACAAAUGGAAGAGUGUCAAGAAGAGGAAGGAUCAAAAGAGUUUAAGCCAAGUCCUCCGAUCUUACAAGAACUUCCUCCUCAUUGGAAGUAUGUGUUUUUGGGUGAAGACUAUAAGCAACCGGUCAUUAUUAGUAAUUUGCUCACUUCCUUGGAAGAAGAAGACUUCAUGAAAGAGUUGAAAAAGGAUUAUGAUGCCGUAGUGGAUGGGUUGAAUGGUACAAUUCCUAUCUUUUACUUUCAUAUGAUGAAGAAGGAAGAAAAUCUUAAUCUGGUUGUCCACUCUCAAGAAUUGGUCACACCUUCUUUAGAUGAUUUGGGGGAGCAAGAGUUAAUGCAUGCUCUUGAACCCUAUAUGGUGAAUUCUAUUUCCGAGAGCCUUCUUGCAAAUGUGGUUCAUGUUACUCAAGAGAAGAACGAGGGUGUAGAGAAAACAAAAGUCCCAAAAAGAGCACCCAAGAAGAAAAAGAAGAAGUGGAAAAACAAAAGGAAGAAACUCAAUACUCGUCCGGUAAUGGUGGACAUGUUGCUUGUUGAUCAUAAUGUGGCUCCCUUGAAGAAUGAACAAAAGAGGAGCCGGGUUGAAAACAAUCUCAAAUAUCCUCCCUAACUCGGAUUGAAGAUUCGUCAAGCUAAUGACGUCAAAGAAGCGCUUCGUGGGAGGCAACCCAUGGUUUACGGUUUUUCUCAUCUCUAGCUUUUACCGUUUUAUUGGAAUAAGUGCUUGGUACUUGUUGUUGUUACGACUUCUUACUUGCUUGUUUGUUGUCUUAAUUGAAUGUCUUGGCCUAAAUGAAAACUUGGAACUAGUUGAAUAGAUUUGGUCAUUGCUCUUAGGUACAACUUUGAUAGAUUAAUUGAAUGAUAUUGACAUGUGAAGUUCUUAAUUGGCUAUGUUUGUUGCAUGUUUGCAUGUUAAGAAAGUUUUAGGGAAUCUCUCAAACAUUGACCGCUCACAAAUCCGGCCUAGCCGUGAGAUUUUGAGCCCAUACACUCUUUUUUUUUUCUUGUACAUGAGAGUUCCGCAACUUAGCCAAUUCUCUAGAACUUGCUUUUGUUCUCUUAAUUGAUUAAUGACUAUGUCUUACACACGAGGCAAUUUCUUUGUACCUUGAGAGCCCUUGAAGCCACCCUUGCAUGUUUAUUCCUUAGUUAACCCCUUUUGAGCCGAAAGAAAAAAAAUGUGUUUCUAAAUUUAACCCAAGUGUNNNNNNNNNNNNNNNNNNNNNNNNNNNNNNNNNNNNNNNNNNNNNNNNNNGUUAGAUUACUUCCUUAAUGUUUGGAGCACAAUGCUCAACAUUAAGUUUGGGGUUGCCUUUGGAAUUGGCAACACUUUAAGUUUGGGGUGGGUACACUAGAGAACUUGAAUCAAAAAUUUGAAAAAGUUGAAAAAGUUGUGCAAAA